UACGUAGGGGGGCAAGCGUUGUCCGGAAUCAUUGGGCGUAAAGAGCGUGUAGGCGGUUCAGUAAGUCUGCUGUGAAAGUCCAGGGCUCAACCCUGGGAUGCCGGUGGAUACUGCUGGACUAGAGUGCGGAAGAGGCGAGUGGAAUUCCCGGUGUAGCGGUGAAAUGCGCAGAUAUCGGGAGGAACACCAAUUGCGAAGGCAGCUCGCUGGGACGUUACUGACGCUGAGACGCGAAAGCGUGGGGAGCAAACAGG
rnacentral:rRNA from 1 species